CCCCCUCGAGGCGGCCGCGGUCGGUCCGCUCGCGCGCGGCCCCGUCGCCCCACGCACGCGCCUCCCUCGCUCCCGGCGCUAAAGCUCGCGCGCACUUCUCUCCAGGCCCGCGAGCGUUCGACGACCGCCGUCCAGGUCCCUCUGAAACCCGGUCGCACCAUGUCUUCGCCUCCCGAGGGGAAGCUAGAGACGAAAGCUGGACACCCGCCCGCCGUGAAAGCCGGUGGGAUGCGAAUUGUGCAGAAACACCCGCAUGCUGGAGACACCAGAGAAGAGAAGGACAAAGACGACCAGGAGUGGGAAAGCCCCAGUCCACCCAGACCGACCGUGUUCAUCUCCGGUGUUAUCGCCCGGGGCGACAAGGACUUCCCCCCGGCGGCUGCCCAGGUGGCCCACCAGAAGCCCCACGCCUCCAUGGACAAGCACUCUUCCCCGAGGACACAGCACAUCCAGCAGCCUCGCAAGUGAUGGCGAGGACCCAGCGCCCUCACCAGCCGGGCCUCAGUUCCCCGACACUUGGUGAUGGAAAUGUUCUAAAAUCAACUGAGAGGAUGCUCGCACAUGUCUGUGAAUAUGCUAGACCCAUGGAAUCGUACACCUUAUGGGAGCC